rnacentral:tRNA from 1 species
GAUGUAGCUUAGUGGUAGAGUGCUUGCCUUGCAUGUGUGAAACCCUGGGUUCAAUUCCCAGUAAUGCA